CGGAGGAAAAGAACCAACAGGGAUUGCCUCAGUACGGCGAGUGAACGGCAAGAGCUCAGAUUUGAAAUCGUKCUUUGCGGCACGAGUUGUAGAUUGCAGGUUGGAGUSUGUGUGGAAGGCGGUGUCCAAGUCCCUUGSAACAGGGCGCCCAGGAGGGUGAGAGCCCCGUGGGAUCCGGCGGAAGCAGUGAGGCCCUUUGGAGUYGAGUUGUUUGGGAAUGCACUCAACGGGUGGUAAAUUCCAUUAAGCUAAAUCUGGCGAGAGCCGAUACGAACAAGUCGUGAAGGAAAGAUGAAAAGCACUUUGAAAAGAGAGUGAAACAGCACGUGAAAUUGUUGAAAGGGAAGGGUAUUGCRCCCGACAUGGGGAUUGCGCRCCSCUGCCUYUCGUGGGCGGCGCUCUGGGCUUUCCCUGGGCCAGCAUCGGUUCUUGCUGCAGGAGAAGGGGUUCUGGAACGUGGCUCUUCGGAGUGUUAUAGCCAGGCCAGAUCUGCGUGCGGGGACGAGGACUGCGCCGUGUAGUC
rnacentral:rRNA from 1 species